GCGCAGCAGGCGAGAAACCUUCGCAAUGCAGGAAACUGCGACGAGGGAACUCCAAGUGCCUACGCUCAGCGUAGGCUGUUCUCAAGCCUAGAAAGCUUGAGGAGUAAGGGCUGGGUAAGACGGGUGCCAUCUGUGGUAGCAGUCAAUAGAUUCGAUUUGUUACUGCAAGGCAUAAGCCGCCGCGGUAAUACCCGCAGCCCAAGUGGUGGCCGCUUUUAUUGGGCCUAAAGCGUCCGUAGCCGGCCCGGUAAAUGCCUGGGUAAAUCGUGGAGCCCAACUUCACGAAUUCCGGGUAGACUGCCGAGCUCGGGACCGGAAGAGGGAGAGGGUACUUCAGGGGUAGGGGUGAAAAUUUCCGUUUCCAUUAACGCUUUUGCGCGAAGCGGAAAAGGGUUAUCGACAAUCCUGUAAUCCCUGGAGGACCACCCGUGGCGAAGGCG
rnacentral:rRNA from 1 species